AGCGGCGGACGGGUGAGUAAUGCCUGGGAAUAUGCCCUGAUGUGGGGGAUAACUAUUGGAAACGAUAGCUAAUACCGCAUAAUCUCUUCGGAGCAAAGAGGGGGACCUUCGGGCCUCUCGCGUCAGGAUUAGCCCAGGUGGGAUUAGCUUGUUGGUGAGGUAAUGGCUCACCAAGGCAACGAUCCCUAGCUGGUCCGAGAGGAUGAUCAGCCACACUGGAACUGGGACACGGUCCAGACUCCUACGGGAGGCAGCAGUGGGGAAUAUUGCACAAUAGGGGAAACCCUGAUGCAGCCAUGCCGCGUGUGUGAAGAAGGCCUUCGGGUUGUAAAGCACUUUCAGUAGGGAGGAAGGUAGUGUAGUUAACACCUGCAUUAUUUGACGUUACCUACAGAAGAAGCACCGGCUAACUCCGUGCCAGCAGCCGCGGUAAUACGGAGGGUGCGAGCGUUAAUCGGAAUUACUGGGCGUAAAGCGCAUGCAGGCGGCCCGUUAAGUCAGAUGUGAAAGCCCGGGGCUUAACCUCGGAAUUGCAUUUGAAACUGGCAGG
rnacentral:rRNA from 1 species